AUUUCGACAAUGUUGCCUACAUAAAAGGAGGCAACAAUUACAGUGGACAUACAGUAACAAAAAACUAAAGAAAUACACAAUACAACAUCAUGAACGGAAAGUGGCAAUUCCUUCUGUUAUUUGUUUCUCUUAUUUUAAUGUCGGAAUAUAUAAUUUUACCAGUCAUGGGCGCCUGUAAUACUUUAUCCAAAAGAACUCUUUGCAGAAGCGAUAAGUACAGAAUAAUGUGCAGGUUGACACGUGCGGAAUGCGCACCUUACAGAGGGAAAUGAGACCAACACCAUAAUCAAUCAAUGUAUUUCAAAUGUAUGGCCUGUACAUUGCAUGAUACUAUAACUGAAUUUCAAAAAUAAAUAUUGUUUCUUGGGAACCUAUCACUGUUUUUUAUUCUUACAGUACCUCAAAUGAGAAUUUACCUUGGAGUGUAAACAAUUUACGAACUUAAAUAUUCAAAAAGUCUACUGGUUAAAUUUAAUUCCAAUGACUUCAGCAUUAGAUUAAACUUCCACAAUUUCGA